UACGAAGGGUGCAAACGUUGCUCGGAAUUAUUGGGCGUAAAGCGCACGUAGGCGGCUUAGCAAGUCGGAUGUGAAAUCCCUCGGCUCAACCAAGGAAGUGCAUCCGAAACUGCAGAGCUUGAGUACUUAAGAGGAUCGCGGAAUUCCCGGUGUGAGAGGUGAAAUUCGUAGAUAUCGGGAGGAACACCAGUGGCGAAGGCGGCAUCCUCGGCCGGUAGUUGACACUGAGGCGCGAAAGGCCAGGGGAGCAAACGGG
rnacentral:rRNA from 1 species